UAGGGAAUCUUCCGCAAUGGGCGAAAGCCUGACGGAGCAACGCCGCGUGAGUGAUGAAGGUCUUCGGAUCGUAAAACUCUGUUAUUAGGGAAGAACAAAUGUGUAAGUAACUAUGCACGUCUUGACGGUACCUAAUCAGAAAGCCACGGCUAACUACGUGCCAGCAGCCGCGGUAAUACGUAGGUGGCAAGCGUUAUCCGGAAUUAUUGGGCGUAAAGCGCGCGUAGGCGGUUUUUUAAGUCUGAUGUGAAAGCCCACGGCUCAACCGUGGAGGGUCAUUGGAGACUGGAAAACUUGAGUGCAGAAGAGGAAAGUUGAAUUCCAUGUGUAGCGGUGAAAUGCGCAGAGAUAUGGAGGAACACCAGUGGCGAAGGCGACUUUCUGGUCUGUUACUGACGCUGAUGUGCGAAAGCGUGGGGAUCAAACAGG
rnacentral:rRNA from 1 species